AGUGAACGCUGGCGGUAGGCCUAACACAUGCAAGUCGAACGGCAGCACAGUAAGAGCUUGCUCUUACGGGUGGCGAGUGGCGGACGGGUGAGGAAUACAUCGGAAUCUACUUUUUCGUGGGGGAUAACGUAGGGAAACUUACGCUAAUACCGCAUACGACCUACGGGUGAAAGCAGGGGAUCUUCGGACCUUGCGCGAUUGAAUGAGCCGAUGUCGGAUUAGCUAGUUGGCGGGGUAAAGGCCCACCAAGGCGACGAUCCGUAGCUGGUCUGAGAGGAUGAUCAGCCACACUAGAACUGAGACACGGUCCAGACUCCUACGGGAAGCAGCAGUGGGGAAUAUUGGACAAUGGGCGCAAACCUGAUCCAGCCAUACCGCGUGGGUGAAGAAGGCCUUCGGGUUGUAAAGCCCUUUUGUUGGGAAAGAAAAGCAGCAGGUUAAUACCCCGCUGUUCUGACGGUACCCAAAGAAUAAGCACCGGCUAACUUCGUG
rnacentral:rRNA from 1 species